ACUCCUACGGGAGGCAGCAGUGGGGAAUAUUGCACAAUGGGCGCAAGCCUGAUGCAGCCAUGCCGCGUGUAUGAAGAAGGCCUUCGGGUUGUAAAGUACUUUCAGCAGUGAGGAAGGUGGGUAUGUUAAUAGCAUAUUCAUUUGACGUUAGCUGCAGAAGAAGCACCGGCUAACUCCGUGCCAGCAGCCGCGGUAAUACGGAGGGUGCGAGCGUUAAUCGGAAUUACUGGGCGUAAAGCGCAUGCAGGUGGUUUGUUAAGUCAGAUGUGAAAGCCCGGGGCUCAACCUCGGAAUUGCAUUUGAAACUGGCAAACUAGAGUACUGUAGAGGGGGGUAGAAUUUCAGGUGUAGCGGUGAAAUGCGUAGAGAUCUGAAGGAAUACCGGUAGGCGAAGGCGGCCCCCUGGACAGAUACUGACACUCAGAUGCGAAAGCGUGGGGAGCAAACAGGAUUAGAUACCCUGGUAGGCGU
rnacentral:rRNA from 1 species